GCCUCGGUGGUGUAGCGGCCUAGCAUAGGGGCCUGUCGAGCCCCUGACCCGGGUUCAAAUCCCGGCCGAGGCG
rnacentral:tRNA from 1 species